ensembl:lncRNA
AUGUAUCAAGAAAACGAACAGAGAUAUGGGACUGAAGCCCCUCGGUGUGGCCCAGGCCCUCCACCGAAAACAUACUAUCUGAAACAGGCACUCAGACGUUCCAAAGAUGAGGUCUACCGUCUGACCCACCUGGUGAAAGACCUCAAGUCCUUUAAGAGGGAUUCUGAGAUUGAGAGGGACAGUUUUUGCCUUGUCAUCAAAGAUGGGAAACUGGCAACCGCCCAUCUGGAGAAAAGUCUGGAGGCCGCCAACGAGAGGAUCAAGAUCCUGGAGAGUCAGCAUAUGUCCAUGGCUGAAGCCAACAACAGCCGAGAGAUGCAGUCCCAAAACCUCCACCUGCUGGAGCGUCUGAGAGUACAAGAAGAAAAGAUGGCUGAAGCCCAGCUCAUCCAUCAGCAGGAGAAGGAGAGGAUGGUUCAAGAGUAUGAGGACAAACUUUCCGAACAAAUUAGCCAGAUCCUUGACCUCUUCAAGAAGAAUGAGGGUUUUAGCAACGAGAGCUGGCAACAGAGGUACGAGGAUCUGGAGAAAAAGACUACCCAAGACCUCGCCCUAAAACAAGAGGCGCUGGGAGCCCUUCAGGUACAGCACCAGCAGCUGAUCACCGAGGUUGAGAAUCUGAUGCUCCAGAAGAUCAAUGAGAUCGUGGAAGUCAACAAAGAGAAGGAAAGCAUCUCACAUAAGCUGAGUAUGACUCAACAACAGCUCAUCAGCGAGGAAGAGAAAUUCAAAGAUCUGGAGAGAUGGAUUGGCAAAGAACUGAACUACAAACAAGACGUCUACGAGGCCAGAAUAGCAGGACUGUACGCCGACAACAUUUCUCUAGAGGAUCAGUUGAACAAGCAGUGGGCCAACCACCACCAGUUGGAGGAAGAAAACAAACAGCUAAAGCACUGGAGGGAUAGUAUGCCUGAGAAACAAGACAGCUACGAGACCAGAAUAGUAGGACUGGUCGCCGACAACAUUGCUCUAGAGGAUCAGAUGGUCGUGCAGUUGGCCAACCACUUCCAGUUGGAGGAAGAAUACCAACAGCUAAAGCACUGGAAAGAUAGCACGUCUGAGAAACAAAACAGCUACGAGACCAGAAUAGCAGGACUGUGCGCCAACAACAUUGCUCUAGAGGAGCAGUUGAACAUGCAGUGGGCCAACCAGCACCAGUUGGAGGAAGAAUACAAACAGCUAAAGCACUGCAGGGAUAGUACGUCUGAGAAACAAAAGAAGGACGCAUACCUCAUAGCCAGCCUACACCAAGAGGUGGACGUGAUGACCGAACAAAAUCAUAUCGUGAUCAAAGAUGUGAAACAGUUGCGGAAAGAAAACACGCUCCUUGAAAACAUCUGUCUGGACAUGAAGAAGAAGAAGAGGGGCCUCUUCGGAAGAAAGAUGCAAGACAGAAAGACAGAAUUGACCAAGAUGAAGCGCAAAAGGCUGUGCAAGGACGUUAAGAGGUUGGAAAGAAAAAUCAAAGAAGAGAAGAGGAAGAAUAAUACCUUCAAGGGCUGA